rnacentral:rRNA from 1 species
AACGGCCGUACCAUGCUGAAUAUACCGGUUCUCGUUAGAUCACCGAAGUCAAGCAUCAUUGGGCGCGGUCAGUACUUGGUUGGGUGACCACCUGGGAACACUGCGUGCCGUU